UACAGAGGGGGCAAGCGUUAUUCGGAAUUAUUGGGCGUAAAGAGCUCGUAGGCGGCUGUCCACGUCGGAUGUGAAAGCUCGGGGCUCAGCCCUGAGAGGCCAUUCGAUACGGGACGGCUAGAGGUAGGUAGGGGAGAUUGGAAUUCCUGGUGUAGCGGUGAAAUGCGCAGAUAUCAGGAGGAACACCGGUGGCGAAGGCGGGUCUCUGGGCAGUAACUGACGCUGAGGAGCGAAAGCGUGGGGAGCGAACAGG
rnacentral:rRNA from 1 species